rnacentral:rRNA from 1 species
GGAGUUUGGACCGUGUCUCAGUUCCAAUGUGGGGGACCUUCCUCUCAGAACCCCUACUGAUCGCAGGCUCGGUGGGCCGUUACCCCGCCGACAACCUAAUCAGACGCAUCCCCAUCCCAUAGCGAUGAAUCUUUGCUUGACGUUAGAUGUCUGCUGUCAAGAACAUAGGGAAUUAAUCCGACUUUCGCCGGGCUAUCCUCUACUAUAGGGAAGGUUGGAUACGCGUUACUCACCCGUGCGCCGGUCGCCAUCAAUCAAAGCAAGCUUCGAUCAUGCUGCCCCUCGACUUGCAUGUGUUAAGCCUGUAGCUAGCGUUCAUC